rnacentral:rRNA from 1 species
CGAAACCGAUAGCGAACAAGUACCGUGAGGGAAAGUUGAAAAGUACUCUGAAUAGAGAGUUAAAUAGUACGUGAAACCGCUUAGGGGUUAAGCCCGAUGAACCCGAAUAUCUGAUGUGAGAAAUUCAAUACAAUUCAAAUUCAUAUUUUUUUAUAUUGAAUUUGUAUAGUAUGCACUUUUCUCAUAGUAAGACAUUGUAAUCCAUUGAUAUUAUAUCUCAAUUUUGAGAUGAUUUAACAUACGGACAAAAUGUUUAUGAUUAUUCUAUCAGUGAUAUGUUUACAUGUUAUAUGAAUAAAAUCGUUUUGUACCUGUUUAAAUAGUCGAUGGAUUUUUCAUUGAAAUCAUGCUUGCAAUUUAUUUUGCGUUUCGUAUCAUUAAUUUUUAAUUUUUGAUAGCAGAAAUGGCAUGUAUUCGAUUAACAAUGCGAUAGAUUUGGGAUACUUUCAGGACCCGUCUUGA